rnacentral:rRNA from 1 species
UACGUAGGGGGCAAGCGUUGUCCGGAAUCAUUGGGCGUAAAGAGCGCGUAGGCGGCCCUGUAAGUCCGCUGUGAAAGUCAAGGGCUCAACCCUUGAAUGCCGGUGGAUACUGCAGGGCUAGAGUCCGGAAGAGGCGAGUGGAACUGCGAGUGUAGAGGUGAAAUUCGUAGAUAUUCGCAAGAACACCAGUGGCGAAGGCGGCUCACUGGCCCGGAACUGACGCUGAGGUGCGAAAGCGUGGGGAGCAAACAGG